rnacentral:rRNA from 1 species
GUGGGGAAUCUUCCGCAAUGGACGAAAGUCUGACGGAGCAACGCCGCGUGAGUGAAGAAGGUUUUCGGAUCGUAAAGCUCUUUCGUUAGGGACGAACGUGCUCUUUGUGAAUAAUGAGGAGUAAUGACGGUACCUAAAUAAGAAGCCACGGCUAACUACGUGCCAGCAGCCGCGGUAAUACGUAGGUGGCAAGCGUUGUCCGGAAUUAUUGGGCGUAAAGCGCGCGCAGGCGGGAUAUCAAGUCUGUCUUAAAAGUGCGAGGCUCAACCUCGUGAGGGGACAGAAACUGGUAUUCUUGAGUGUCGGAGAGGAAAGUGGAAUUCCAAGUGUAGCGGUGAAAUGCGUAGAUAUUAGGAAGAACACCAGUGGCGAAGGCGACUUUCUGGACGAAAACUGACGCUGAGGCGCGAAAGCCAGGGGAGCGAACGGGAUUAGAAACCCCUGUAGUCC